UUUGCCACGGAAGGCUAGCUGUUAUAACAAACUAACUUCAAAUCUCAGUAACUUACUACAAUAAACUUUUACUCCCAGCAUGUGGAUGCGUGGCUCCCCUCUAAGCCACAAGGAAGGAACCUGUGUUCCCUCCAUCUAGGCGGCUGUUAUCUCCUAGGGCAGUAUUUCUCAAAUGUUAAUGUGCAUAGGGAUGGGCCUGAAGAUCUUGUCAAAAUGCAGAUUCUGAAUCUCUCCCAUGGAGACUGUAUCUAGAGGCAGAGGAAGAAAAGGACAGAGUAAAUGACAAUGUGGGUAGGAAUACAUCUUACCGCCCAACAUCUCAGAGCCUGUCUCAGUCAUAUGGCCACACCUAAUUCCAAAGGAGCCUGGGUAAUGUACUCCAGCUAUGUGUUCAGGAUGAAAAAACAGUUUUAUUAAGAAUUAGUCACCCUCCGCCUCAAAUAAGAAAAGAAGCAAUGAACUAAAGAGAUUUCAAAUGUCUAAAUUAUUAAUCCUUCCUACUUGUAAACUCAAAUCAGAUUUAUUCGGGAACAAAAGGCACAACCUGCCCUCCCCCCCAUAAGCCAUUGUUUCUAUUGAAACCCUAAAGCCAUAAUCUAAAGCAUUCAUUGUAAAGUCUUAAAGCUGUCAUAAAGCAAUAUAUCAUGAACAUGAAUUUCUUAAACAAGUCAUAAGGGACUAGCCACAGUUUUCUCUCUCUAGAGAUUAGAUAAAUAAAUUUUCUUCUAAGACAGUAUCCGUGUUGUAAUUCAAUAGUUUGUGUUAACUCCUAAAAUACAGCAAAAUGUUUGCCUCUUGAAUACAGAAAGGUAUUCCUGAUCCUUUUGUCAUCAUUUUACUAGAAGAAUCAAUUCAGAAAGAUAAAUGUGCUCUCCAGACUAAAAGGAGAGGGAGGAAGGAGGCUCUGUGCCUGCAGAGAAAUUGUUCAGUGAUUGGAUUCUGUUUUAACCAAAGAAUGACAGACAGCUUCUCAAAAGAUCAUUGUCAAAAUACAACAGCUUUACUUCCAGUGCCUGGUACAUGUUGAUUCAGAAAUGGUUGUGACAGUGGGGGUGUGAGGGUGAUCUUUCUGCCUCUGGUAAAACCACCUAUGAGCAAAGGGGAGUGAGGUCGGGGGUCAUUUAGCCAGGAGAGGACGGAAAAGCAAAUUAAUUUUGAACAUCACCUUAAAGCAAAACCACAAGGGACUUGGGACCCCAUGCUUUAGAAGGCUCUGCUGUGGCUCUUCCUCCUCCCAAGGCAAGAAGCCCAAGGUACCAAGGGGAUGUACCCUAGCAGACCUCUAUUUCCUCCUACUAGACCAGCAGAGCCCAAUAGAAAGGUUAGGGGAGCUACAAACAGGAGAUACUCAUGUAAUUUUAAAGUUGUUAGUAGUCACAUUAGAAAGUAAAAAAGAUACCAGUGAAAUUAAUUUUAAUAAUAUAUUUUAUUUAACCCAAUAUAUACAAAAUAUUAGUAUUUUAAUAGUAAUCGUUAAUAUAAAAUAUUCACUUCCCUUUUCAUAUUAAGUCUUCAAAGUCCAGUGUGUGCUUUACAACUAUAGCACAUCUCAACCAGUGUUCAAUGGCCACAAAGUGGCUGCUGUGUCUCAGAGCACAGUUCUAGAGCAUGCUCUGGGUUAUUGAUCCUAGAAUUCCCUACUGGCAGGAUCCUAUGUCCACUCCCAGGUUCUGGGAAAGCCUCUGCCGAGCCCCAUGCUCCAAGUUUUGAGGGGGACCAAAGAGUAGGUGUUUGAGGGGCAUGGGGAUGCAGGCUGCAUCCCUGAAGGUGUGCCAGGCAUUUCACAAUAAAGAAUGUGGCAGGGAUGGAAAAUGGAAGGAAGCAGGGUGGAGGCCAGAAACUGGCUCCCCCCCUGACCCCACCAAGUGGUCACACAGGCCCUGAAAGUAUGUAAGAAUUCUAAAUUCAAACCUGGCCUGGAGAUCCUUAUAGAGGCACAUUUGUCAAGGUUGGAAGAUAGAAAACAUUUAUUUUGUUGCCUUGAUUUAUAUCUUUUAAAUAUUUUCCCAUUUGAUAUUUGCUCAUCUAUUUGUAUUUUGAUCCAGUGCCCCAUAAUAUUAAGGGAGUAGGAGUUGCUUUAAAAAUCUGAUAAAACAGUAACAGUAGAAGCUUGGACUACUAACAAAAUCUGCAAUCACCCAGGGCAGAGGAAAAGAACCUCUUACUCUAAUUUCAGAACAAGGCAGUGGAUAACCUAGGAUGAUUUGUGAAGCUCCAGAGAGCUAGCUCCCUGUAUGAGGAUGGACAACUUCCUACUGUCCCGUACUUCCCCUGGUCAGAACUGGGCCCCAGUACUUUAUUGUUUGUAAUAUGCCCCAGCAGGUAAAUGCAUUGAGGUUUCAGAUAAGUCUGUGUCCUCAAAAGUUUAGGGCUAAAGAUAUUGCUGGACAUGUUUAUAUUAUGGAAAUAAAAGCACUGCACUUUAAACUAUGCCUUUGUUCCCUUGUUUUGUGUACUCCAACUCCCCAGAAACUAGAACAGGGCCUGGCACAUAGCAGGUGCUUGGCAAACUGUUUUUGAAUAAAUUAUCCUUUCUACUUUGGGCCUUUAUAUGAAAAGCUAUAAAUCAAAUCACAUGGACUGCUAGUCCCUCUGAUAGAGCUUAGACACUGGCACAGGCAAUAUUGGUUGCAUUCUCUUUCUGUGCAUUAUGAAUACAAUGUACUGGCUAUAAUUAUUAGCUAAUAACAAGAGCUGAUAUUCAGACAGUAUGUGCUGGCAGGUGUACCAAUUAUUGUUAUUAAAAUACGUCUCUAAUGGUUAGUAAAUCUAAUUACCCUGAGCUCCCCCAGAGUCCUCUAUCUCUACCACUCAGACUCUUUCCCCCAAAUUUCCACCAGAAAUCUCCCCACUAUUCAGCAACCGAUGGCUUAAUACCAAGCACAGCCAGGAUCUUCCAGGCAGGGCUCCAACAGUGCCAGAGUCCUUGAUCAACACCCUCUGUAUAGGCUGUUCGUUAUUCUAUCACCCCUAGCUGGUUAAUAUUAGCUACUGUGUUUUAUAUAUUCUGACCCAUUUCUCCUGGUGAUAAUGUGUUAGUUUACCUACAAUACACAAAUGGUCCUAUCUCAUGUUGGCUAUUAAUUACAUUUCUAGAAUAAGGAUUCUGUUUUACCACUGAUAUGUCCUAAAGUUUUGUUAGUUAUAAUCACGGAUGGGGCAAGGAAUUAAAGCAAGAAGAUCAGGGUUAUCACCUGGUACACGGCGAAUUUUCCUCUGGAGAGCAUUGUUAUGCAGACGUACAAAUGAUAUUAAUAUUCAAUGUUCAAAUAGUGGAGAGGACAGAGUCUAGGAUGGCCCCCCAAUGACCCUCAUAUCUUAAUAUUCAUGUGCUUGUGUGAUCCCCUCCCCUUGAGUGUAGGUAGGACCUGUGAUUUGCUUCUAAUCAAUGGUAUAUGACAAAGGUGAUGGGAAUGUCACUCUGUGAUUACAUUAUGCAGAACUGUAACCCGUUCUUGCUGGCAAACUCUCUUGUUUGCUGGCUUUGAUGAAGCAAGCUGCCAUGAUGGGGAGGCCCAUUUGGCAAGGAACUGAGGGGGUCUCUGGUCCACAGCCGGUUGGGACCUGAGGGACCUCAGCCCUACAGCUCUGUGGGAAAUGAAUCCUGUUAACAACUACAUAAACGAACUUCAAAAUGAACUUAGCUGAACUUGCAGAUAGGAGCCAGUCCUGCAAAUACCUCAUGAGAGCCCCUGAAACAGAAGAUCAGUUAAGCCAGGCCCAGAUUCUUAAUCUAGAGAAACUGUCAGAUAACAAAUAUGUGUUGUUUUAAGCAUCUAUGUUUGUGGUAGUUUAUUACACAGAAAUAGAUAGCUAAAAAAAAAGAAAAAGAAAUAGAUAGCUAACACAGUUUGCAAGUGUGUUUUGGUUGAAAUGUACAAAUAUGCAUGUAUACACAGACAUACAUGUAUAAAUGUGUGUACAAAUAUAAAAUUCUUAGACUAAUAAACUCUUACCUUAACGUGUUACUUGUUAAGUUACACUCAGAUUCAGGGGAGAGAAGGAAGAUUUUACUUUGCUUGUAUAAGCUUUUGUAUUAUUUUAGUUUUGUCACUGUGUUUACAUUUUUAUAAAUAAAAGAAAAAAUCUAGUUUAAAUGUACA
rnacentral:lncRNA from 1 species